rnacentral:rRNA from 1 species
UGCAGUCGAGCGAAGCUUUCGGGCUUAGCGGCGGACGGGUGAGUAACGCGUGGGAACGUGCCCUUUGGUACGGAAUAGUCCUGGGAAACUGGGUUUAAUACCGUAUAUUCUCUACGGAGGAAAGAUUUAUCGCCAAAGGAUCGGCCCGCGUUGGAUUAGGUAGUUGGUGGGGUAAUGGCCUACCAAGCCGACGAUCCAUAGCUGGUUUGAGAGGAUGAUCAGCCACACUGGGACUGAGACACGGCCCAGACUCCUACGGGAGGCAGCAGUGGGGAAUCUUAGACAAUGGGGGCAACCCUGAUCUAGCCAUGCCGCGUGAUCGAUGAAGGCCUUAGGGUUGUAAAGAUCUUUCGCUGGGGAAGAUAAUGACGGUACCCAGUAAAGAAGCCCCGGCUAACUCCGUGCCAGCAGCCGCGGUAAUACGGAGGGGGCUAGCGUUGUUCGGAAUUACUGGGCGUAAAGCGCGCGUAGGCGGAUUGGAAAGUUGGGGGUGAAAUCCCGGGGCUCAACCCCGGAACUGCCUCCAAAACUAUCAGUCUGGAGUUCGAGAGAGGUGAGUGGAAUUGCGAGUGUAGAGGUGAAAUUCGUAGAUAUUCGCAGGAACACCAGUGGCGAAGGCGGCUCACUGGCUCGAUACUGACGCUGAGGUGCGAAAGUGUGGGG